UGGCGACACAGAGCGGAACCCGAAAGCCGGUCUCAGUUCGGAUUGGAGUCUGCAACCCGACUCCAUGAAGCUGGAUUCGCUAGUAAUCGCGCAUCAGCCAUGGCGCGGUGAAUACGUUCCCGGGCCUUGUACACACCGCCCGUCAAGCCAUGGGAGCCGGGAGUGCCUGAAGUGCGUGACCGCAAGGAGCGCCCUAAGGCAAGACCGGUGACUGGGGCUAAGUCGUAACAAGGUAUC
rnacentral:rRNA from 1 species